rnacentral:rRNA from 1 species
UAGGGAAUCUUCCGCAAUGGGCGAAAGCCUGACGGAGCAACGCCGCGUGAGUGAUGAAGGUCUUCGGAUCGUAAAACUCUGUUAUUAGGGAAGAACAAAUGUGUAAGUAACUAUGCACGUCUUGACGGUACCUAAUCAGAAAGCCACGGCUAACUACGUGCCAGCAGCCGCGGUAAUACGUAGGUGGCAAGCGUUAUCCGGAAUUAUUGGGCGUAAAGCGCGCGUAGGCGGUUUUUUAAGUCUGAUGUGAAAGCCCACGGCUCAACCGUGGAGGGUCAUUGGAAACUGGAAAACUUGAGUGCAGAAGAGGAAGGGGGAAUUCCAUGUGUAGCGGUGAAAUGCGCAGAGAUAUGGAGGAACACCAGGGGCGAAGGCGACUUUCUGGUCUGUAACUGACGCUGAUGUGCGAAAGCGUGGGGAUCAAACAGG